rnacentral:tmRNA from 1 species
GGGGUCGACAAGGUAUCGAUUGAAGCAGUAAGUAUUAGUUGCAUGUCGAUUUGGAUAUAUCGUAAAACUAUCCAAUUUUUUUAGACGCAAACAAUACAAGUUACGCUCCAGCUUACGCGAAAGCUGCGUAAGUAUCAACUUAUAUGGACUCCCCUUGAUUGGGUUGAGACCUUGGAGGUUCGCACUACAGAUUCUAUCUAUGUAGAUUUCGCGGACUCACUUUGGAUAGAUUACUUUUAAAGCCUGAUUAACUUUAAAAGGACAUUUUAAUCUUAGCUUCAAAGUUUUCUUUGCGAGUUGAGUUGCUUUGAAGUGAAAAUUAUCAACUCUUCUAAGCAUGUAGACGCUAAUAUGGUCUGUUUUAAGACUCGAGUUCAAUUCUCGACGACUCCACCA